UGGUAUCCUUGAUUUAAAUUAUCUAAACUAAAGUAGUAACCAGUUAUUAUCUUGAAACUUAAAGGAUUUGGCGGUGUCUUAGUCUAGUUAGAGGAACCUGUUCUGUGAUCGAUGCGCCACGAAGUAUCUCACUUCAUCUUGUAAGGACUACAACAGCUUGUAUACCGCCAUUAUCAGGCAAUCUCAAUAGAGACGUGUUUAAAUAAAUAAAAAAUUUAGAAAAUUAGGUCAAGGUGCAGCUUAUGAUGAAGGUUGAAAUGGGUUACAAUUUAACAUGGGAAAACGGAUUAGGAUUUGAAAUAAUUUUAUGAAGGUGGAUUUGAAAGUAAGGUUUGUUUAAUAUGCAAACCUGAUUAUAAGCUCUAAGGCGCGUA
rnacentral:rRNA from 1 species